UUGGGAGAAGCGAACCGGUUCGAGAACCAGCCACCACCGCCUGUGACCAUCUCUUUCCGACCGGCCAUCACUGCCGCCGGACUGCCGCCGGCGAAGACCCGUCGCCCUUCCGCGCUCUUCUCUCCACCCAGAAUCGCGGUUCCAUUCGGUCGACGACGCGUUUGAGAGCCAGCCACCACCGCCUGUGACCAUCUCGUGCCCACCGGCCACCACUGCCGCCGGAGACCCGCCGCCCGUCCGCUAUCUUUCAUCCACCCAGAAUCGCGGUUCCAUUUACUCGAGGACAAAACCCUAAACCCAAAGCCAACCGUUCAUGCAUGGAUCUUUUAAGGGGCUACUAAAUGUGAAUGAAACAAGGAGGGGCAAUUUUACGGGUUUUAUAUAAGCAUAGGUUAGCACUAAAAAAUCCAGCAGAGAAUCUGAAGUCAUGAAUGUGACGGAAAAGCUAGGCAUAAUCUCACCAUCCCUCUAGAAUUAGUACUGCUCCAUUGAGCUGCAGACUGAGAAGUGUUCUUCACAAACUUACUGAUUAUCGUAGAAGCAUGAGCAAUUUUCUAUUUAAUCAAGCAACUUUUAUCUGUCUAUUUUGGAUGAUGUCACAAUGUAUAUAAUCUCCACCAUAGCCAGGUUGAUUCUGUAUUUUAGUUGGAUUCACAAUGAUGGAUUGCACAAAAUAUGAAGGUUAUAAAUUUGCGAAUGUAGGCAUGGAACGACACAAAACCUAUAGUCGACAUUAAUGGUAUAUUACUCAUUGAUAUUUCUCUUGACCGAAAUAACAACAUUCAUUGAAACAUGAAUUUUGUCUUGUAGUCAGAAGCAAAUUCCAAUUAUGUGCAGAUUUGUAUGGUACUGGUAAAAUCCAUUUCUAUCUCAAGUUGUUUUAAGUUUCUAUGCCUUAGGAUUAACAAGGAUUAACUGUUAGUAUUUAUACACAAUAUAAAUUUAAAUAGAGAAAUUUUCUCGUUAUAUACUUCUAAACUCUAAACUCUUUGAUAGUCGCAUAUUCAAGAGUUAUUUAUUUCAUUCAAGUAGAUCAUGUUCACCCUGUUUUGCAUAUCUCUCAAGUAAGACAAUAUGUCACCAUGGGAACCCAGGCCACGAACUUGCCCCCUGGCCUCAUUUUUCAAGCAGUCUGAGUUACUUACUAAUUACUACUUUAACUUGGGAUAUGGGAUAUUCAGCUUUCUAGUUUGUUACUUACUAAUUACUACUUUAACUUGUGAGAGUAGCUACUCCUAUUAAUGAGAUUCUUUAUGUGCACUAGAAGUAAGGUGUACAGAUGACAUCAAUAUAUCUUUUGCAAAAACACAAUAUACACAAUAGUAAAAGCAGAUGCACAGAAAGGAAGAAACAAUCCUAUUCAAUUCACAUUCCACAAUCCAUAUCAGUAGUAGUUUAAUAGUUUUAUUCAAUCAAAUUGAUUCAUCUCAUAUAAAUGAAGAAAACUAAAAAUUAAAACGAGCAGGAAACUCACACAUACAAAUCCUUUACUGCAAAAGGAACUUGCUCUGUAAGCAGAAGAGAAAUUAUGGUUAGGCAGAAAGCAGAGGGUUGUCUACCACCGGUGUGUAUUCUUUUAUCUAAGAACUGGACUUUGAAACUAUGAAGAAAGAAGAUAGAUGUCUGCAAACGGAAAAUAUAGAUGUAUAAGGAAGAUGAAUAUGACUUGAAGAUUUCUACUUAGAAUGUAAAGUUGGUCAUUCAUAGCAUAUAUCUUAUCAUGUAUUAGAAUGUAAAGUUGGUCAUUCAUAGCAUAUAUCUUAUCAUGUAUCAAAAGACCAGCAAACUUACAAAAAUAACAAUUAAUUUGGCAUUAGGGCUCCACACCUGCAUGUUUUCUCCUUCACUCUGUAAUGAAUCAAAAGACUAGAAAACUAUUUUACACUGUCAGUGCAUUAUCAUUAACUAAUGUUUUAAUUCACCAACGUGUAGCUUUAGUUCACGAGUUCAUAACUAAUUUACUAGAAUAACAAAAACAUAAAAAUGAACAAAUGUUUUGCCUCAUUCCCAAAAGUUAAAACAAUGCAAGUAUAAAGAUAAAUCCAGAUGAGAGCAAGUAUAAAAAGGCAAGGCUUCUUAGAAAUAUAGAAAGGGUGGAUA